AUACGGAGGGUGCAAGCGUUACUCGGAAUCACUGGGCGUAAAGCGCGCGCAGGCGGUCUUUUAAGUUGGAUGUGAAAGCCUACGGCUCAACCGUAGAACUGCACCCAAAACUAUUAGACUAGAGUGUGGGAGAGGAAGAUGGAAUUAGUUGUGUAGGGGUAAAAUCCGUAGAGAUAACUAGGAAUACCAAAAGCGAAGGCAAUCUUCUGGAACACUACUGACGCUGAGGCGCGAAAGCGUGGGGAGCAAACAGGAUUAGAAACCCCGGUAGUCC
rnacentral:rRNA from 1 species